rnacentral:rRNA from 1 species
GACGAACGCUGGCGGCGUGCCUAAUACAUGCAAGUAGAACGCUGAAGAGAGGAGCUUGCUCUUCUUGGAUGAGUUGCGAACGGGUGAGUAACGCGUAGGUAACCUGCCUUGUAGCGGGGGAUAACUAUUGGAAACGAUAGCUAAUACCGCAUAACAAUGGCUGACACAUGUCGUUUAUUUUAAAGGGGCAAUUGCUCCACUACAAGAUGGACCUGCGUUGUAUUAGCUAGUAGGUGAGGUAAUGGCUCACCUAGGCGACGAUACAUAGCCGACCUGAGAGGGUGAUCGGCCACACUGGGACUGAGACACGGCCCAGACUCCUACGGGAGGCAGCAGUAGGGAAUCUUCGGCAAUGGGGGCAACCCUGACCGAGCAACGCCGCGUGGGUGAAGAAGGGUUUCGGAUCGUAAAGCUCUGUUGUAAGUCAAGAAAGGGUGUGAGAGUGGAAAGUUCACACUGUGACGGUAGCUUACCAGAAAGGGACGGCUAACUACGUG